rnacentral:rRNA from 1 species
ACAUGCAAGUCGAACGGCAGCACGGGUGCUUGCACCUGGUGGCGAGUGGCGAACGGGUGAGUAAUGUAUCGGAACGUGCCCUAGAGUGGGGGAUAACGUAGCGAAAGUUACGCUAAUACCGCAUACGAUCUACGGAUGAAAGUGGGGGAUCGCAAGACCUCAUGCUCAUGGAGCGGCCGAUAUCUGAUUAGCUAGUUGGUAGGGUAAAAGCCUACCAAGGCGACGAUCAGUAGCUGGUCUGAGAGGACGACCAGCCACACUGGGACUGAGACACGGCCCAGACUCCUACGGGAGGCAGCAGUGGGGAAUUUUGGACAAUGGGGGAAACCCUGAUCCAGCAAUGCCGCGUGUGUGAAGAAGGCCUUCGGGUUGUAAAGCACUUUUGUCAGGAACGAAACGGUGGAGGCUAAUACCUUCUGCUAAUGACGGUACCUGAAGAAUAAGCACCGGCUAACUACGUGCCAGCAGCCGCGGUAAUACGUAGGGUGCAAGCGUUAAUCGGAAUUACUGGGCGUAAAGCGUGCGCAGGCGGUUGUGCAAGACAGAUGUGAAAUCCCCGGGCUUAACCUGGGAAUUGCAUUUGUGACUGCACGGCUAGAGUGUGUCAGAGGGGGGUAGAAUUCCACGUGUAGCAGUGAAAUGCGUAGAUAUGUGGAGGAAUACCGAUGGCGAAGGCAGCCCCCUGGGAUAACACUGACGCUCAUGCACGAAAGCGUGGGGAGCAAACAGGAUUAGAUACCCUGGUAGUCCACGCCCUAAACGAUGUCUACUAGUUGUCGGGUCUUAAUUGACUUGGUAACGCAGCUAACGCGUGAAGUAGACCGCCUGGGGAGUACGGUCGCAAGAUUAAAACUCAAAGGAAUUGACGGGGACCCGCACAAGCGGUGGAUGAUGUGGAUUAAUUCGAUGCAACGCGAAAAACCUUACCUACCCUUGACAUGUACGGAACCCUGCUGAGAGGUGGGGGUGCUCGAAAGAGAGCCGUAACACAGGUGCUGCAUGGCUGUCGUCAGCUCGUGUCGUGAGAUGUUGGGUUAAGUCCCGCAACGAGCGCAACCCUUGUCAUUAGUUGCUACGAAAGGGCACUCUAAUGAGACUGCCGGUGACGAACCGGAGGAAGGUGGGGAUGACGUCAAGUCCUCAUGGCCCUUAUGGGUAGGGCUUCACACGUCACACAAUGGUACAUACAGAGGGCCGCCAACCCGCGAGGGGGAGCUAAUCCCAGAAAGUGUAUCGUAGUCCGGAUUGUAGUCUGCAACUCGACUACAUGAAGUUGGAAUCGCUAGUAAUCGCGGAUCAGCAUGUCGCGGUGAAUACGUUCCCGGGUCUUGUACACACCGCCCGUCACACCAUGGGAGCGGGUUUUACCAGAAGUAGGUAGCUUAACCGCAAGGAGGGCGCUACCACGGUAG